rnacentral:rRNA from 1 species
AGGACGAACGCUGGCGGCGCGCUUAACACAUGCAAGUCGAGCGAGAACCAUUCCUUCGGGAAUGGGGACAGCGGCGAACGGGUGAGUAACACGUGGGUAAUCUGCCCUCGAUUCUGGGAUAGCCCGGGGAAACCCGGAUUAAUACCGGAUAGCCUCUCGAGCUUUCGAGCUCGUGAGAAAAGGUAGCUUCGGCCUCCGAUCGAGGAUGAGCCCGCGGCGGAUUAGCUUGUUGGUGGGGUAAUGGCCUACCAAGGCGACGAUCCGUAGCUGGUCUGAGGGGACGAUCAGCCACACUGGGACUGAGACACGGCCCAGACUCCUACGGGAGCAGCAGUGGGGAAUCGUUGCGCAAUGGGCGAAAGCCUGACGCAGCGACGCCGCGUGGGGAAGAAGGCCUUAGGGUGUAAACCGUCUUUCAGUCAGGACGAAGCCACGUCGGUAAUACGCCAGAGGUGACGGUACC